UAUCAAAACGAGUGUUUUAAAGUUUAACCCUUGUAGUAGCAUGUCUUUGCCAUAGCAGCAUUUCACUUAAAAGGAAGAAACUGCUUCUCUAGCAGCAAUUCCUAGUUACCACCUCCAGCUGAGGGGCUGGAGGGAAACAAGUAUAGCCAAAUUCAAUUAAGAUAAACGCCUGUCUCAAUCAACAUUUUAAAAAGAAUGUCCCCUGUGAUGCUGAAUGUUAUGCCUUUGAAUGGACUUAACUAUACAUCUUUGCUCUUCCUAAUUCCAAGUCUGCCCUUCUUUUUAGCUAACCCUAAAUGAGAAGGAAGCAGAAUAUAACCCUCUGGAGAGCUCAAGACAGUAGGAACCUAGAGCGUGCUUGUUUGAAUUUUCUGAUAUCUGAUUUUCACAGGAAUAUACUUUUUGUUUGUUUUCCUUUUCCAUUUUCAAAAUGCCAAGAUCUGGAAGCCUCUUUCAUUCCUCUAGUCACACGGCCUGAGAUAGAAGUUUACAAGUUUACGUCUUAUUGGCUGUGGGUAGAGACUAUGACCCUUAUUUGCUUGGGUACAUUUCAGUAACCUCUUACUGCCUAAAAACAUAGUCCCUCCAGCUUAAGAUGAUGAUUCUGUUUUGUUGACUCUUGAAUGCUUCCCCAACAUCCCUUUAGUUUUCCUAUAAGCAAAACCAAACACCACUAUAAAUACAAAAGCACUUGGUAAACUGUAAAGUUACUCAUGUAUCCCAACCCUCCACAGAUUUCUGAAGACAAAGUUUUGCUUGGACUAAAACAAAAUGUUACUAUUUUUCAUGUUUGAUUUUUAAUUUGUUGUGUUUAUCAACCAAAAUGGUUUUUAUGCUGGAGAACAAGAGGUGAGCCUGCAGCAUAUAAGAAAUGAAAGUAGUCCAACAGGCAAAGGCUUUGACAUAUUUCAGGAAGGCUCAUGUUAGCGACAAUCUCAGACUAUUAUCAUGGGCCAAACCUGAAAGAUGUUAUAUUUUAUUUAAUAAUUUCUACAACAGUAGGAAGUUUCCCCGAUGAAUUCUCAACU